CUAAUAGGAAGGAGCAUUUAAAAGUGGUGGUAAUGUCAGCAACUAUGGAAUUAGCCAAGCUCUCUGCAUUCUUUGGAAAUUGUCCAAUAUUUGAUAUACCUGGAAGGCUUUAUCCAGUCAGAGAGAAAUUCUGCAAUUUGAUUGGUCCACGAGACAGAGAAAAUACUGCGUAUAUUCAAGCGGUAUUACUUGGCAUUCAUUUAAUGUCUUUUUUAAAUAUCUAUGAUUCUUACUAAUUGGGUGGUUUGAUAAUUCAUUUGUUCACUACUAUUUUAAUGACAGUCCUCACAGGUCCUAGAACUUUUAAGAACCAAAUUUAAUUUUUCUGUGGGGCAAGGGAAGUGGUGGUAAGGGAAUGACUGUAUUUCCACUAGCAUAUUAUGCCUGCAUUUCUUGCUUUAGAUUGUGAAAGUCACCAUGGAUAUCCAUUUGAAUGAAAUGGCUGGAGACAUCUUGGUUUUUCUGACUGGCCAGUUUGAAAUAGAAAAAAGUUGUGAGUUACUUUUUCAGAUGGCAGAGUCUGUUGAUUAUGAUUAUGAUGUUCAAGAUACCA
rnacentral:lncRNA from 1 species